rnacentral:rRNA from 1 species
UAUGAAGGGGGCUAGCGUUGCUCGGAAUCACUGGGCGUAAAGCGCACGUAGGCGGAUUGCUAAGUCAGGGGUGAAAUCCUGGAGCUCAACUCCAGAACUGCCUUUGAUACUGGCGAUCCUUCGAGUCCGGGAGAGGUGAGUGGAACUGCGAGUGUAGAGGUGAAAUUCGUAGAUAUUCGCAAGAACACCAGUGGCGAAGGCGGCUCACUGGCCCGGUACUGACGCUGAGGUGCGAAAGCGUGGGGAGCAA